rnacentral:rRNA from 1 species
AGUGAACGCUGGCGGUAGGCCUAACACAUGCAAGUCGAACGGAAGCACAGUAAGAGCUUGCCCUUACGGGUGGCGGGUGGCGGACGGGUGAGGAAUACAUCGGAAUCUACUUUUUCUGGGGGGAUAACGUAGGGAAACUUACGCUAAUACCGAAUACGACCUACGGGUGAAAGCAGGGGAUCUUCGGACCUUUCGCGAUUGAUUUCGCCGAUGUCGGAUUAGCUAGUUGGGGGGGUAAAGGCCCACCAAGCCGACGAUCCGUAGCUGGUCUGAGAGGAUGAUCAGCCACACUGGAACUGAGACACGGUCCAGACUCCUACGGGAGGCAGCAGUGGGGAAUAUUGGACAAUGGGCGCAAGCCUGAUCCAGCCAUACCGCGUGGGUGAAGAAGGCCUUCGGGUUGUAAAGCCCUUUUGUUGGGAAAGAAAAGCAGCAGGUUAAUACCCCGCUGUUCUGACGGUACCCAAAGAAUAAGCACCGGCUAACUUCGUG